rnacentral:rRNA from 1 species
GUCUAUGGCCAUGCCACCCUGAACAAUCCUGAUCCCAUCUCGUCUCGGAAGCUAAGCAGGGUCAAGCCUUGUUAGUACUUGGAUGGGAGACCACCUAGGA